AAUGAAUUUUGUAAUGCUCUCUGGAGUUAAGAAAAUAUCACAUAUACAUAACAUACAUUAAUAGAUACACAAACACAAAUAGAGAUUUCAUAGCUUUCAUCCUGAAAUUUCAGCCAUGAAUCAGGCAUAAAUAUUCUGAUGGUUAAUUUCAGACAUCUACUUGAUCGGAUUGAGAGACACACAUAGCUGGUCAAACACGAUUUCAGCCAUGAAUCAGGCAUAAAUAUUCUGAUGGUUAAUUUUAGACAUCUACUUGAGUGGAUUAAGAGACACACAUAGCUGGUCAAACAUGAUUUCAGCCAUGAAUCAGCCAUAAAUAUUCUGAUGGUUAAUUUUAGACAUCUACUUGAGUGGAUUAAGAGACACACAUAGCUGGUCAAACACAAUUUCAGCCAUGAAUCAGGCAUAAAUAUUCUGACGGUUAAUUUUAGACAUCUACUUGAUCGGAUUGAGAGACACACAUAGCUGGUCAAACACGAUUUCAGCCAUGAAUCAGGCAUAAAUAUUCUGACGGUUAAUUUUAGACAUCUACUUGAGUGGAUUGAGAGACACACAUAGCUGGUCAAACACAAUUUCAGCCAUGAAUCAGGCAUAAAUAUUCUGACGGUUAAUUUUAGACAUCUACUUGAGUGGAUUGAGAGACACACAUAGCUGGUCAAACACGAUUUCAGCCAUGAAUCAGGCAUAAAUAUUCUGACGGUUAAUUUUAGACAUCUACUUGACUGGAUUAAGAGACACACAUAGCUGGUGAAACACGAUUUCAGCCAUGAAUCAGGCAUAAAUAUUCUGACGGUUAACUUUAGACAUCUACUUGACUGGAUUAAGAGACACACAUAGCUGGUCAAACACGAUUUCAGCCAUGAAUCAGGCAUAAAUAUUCUGACGGUUAACUUUAGACAUCUACUUGAUUGGAUUGAGAGACACACAUAGCUGGUCAAACACAAUUUCAGCCAUGAAUCAGGCAUAAA
rnacentral:lncRNA from 1 species